rnacentral:lncRNA from 1 species
UAUUAAACUAAUAGCUACUUGUUCAAGCAAUAUGUUCUUUAUAAAUACAUAUUGAUAUGAUAUUGUUUGUGCUCAAGUGUACAUUUCUUGUUAGGGACAUUAAGAUUAUUAAGGAUUUCUUGUAUUAAGUGUUUAGACAGAGAUUCGUCAUUAUAUUUUUAUAUGGAUAACAAAAUUAAUUGCUGCUUUGUAAAUAAUUAUGGAGCUUGUUAUAAACAAUCAUAUACUCAAGAAAGAAAUCUGAUUGAAGAUAUUGACAGCAAUGAUCGUAAGCUACUUGAAAAACGAACAAAUCUGAAACAAGAACAAAUUACUAAUAUAUGCACACACCAUCAUGAUAUGUUAGUUGUAAGAUAUGAGGGUAAUCAGAAAAGUUGCUGUAAUCCAUUUCUGAGUCACCAAAAAAUGUGUAGAGCAUCUCUACGUGUGAUUACAAUGCAUACUGUGUUAGAAGCAGAAACCAUAGGUUUAAAUCUGUUAAAAUUAAAUUUUGUGUCCAACCUGUCAAAGUAAAGUUAUGACAUGUUUAUCAAAAAGUAUAAGUGAAAAUAAAAAUGAUGAAGAUUUUGAUAUUGCUAAUGAAAGAUCUAUUCAAAAUAAAAAAGAAAGUGUAAAAUCAGAGAGGUAAACAAAAAUUGACAGCAUUAACAACCUCCAUUAAAAAAAAGAUUAAAAUUUCCCUUAAUAUAUCAGAAGAAACUUUUGAAGAACAGUCAGGUUUUAAUAAUGAGUAUAUGGAAAAAGCAAACUUGUUUGAUAACGUGAUGGUAUUGUUAACUAACAAAAUUGCAGAGUCUACAUCAACAUGAAAAAAAGUACAACUUGCGACACUUGCUCCAACAGACUGGUCAAUAAAAAAGGUAUCUGAAACAUUGCAUGUAACAAACUAUAUAGCUCAAACUGCACGUAAGUUAACAUUAGAAAAAGGUAUUUUAACUAUGCCUAAUCCUAAAUUAGGAAAAGCUCUUCCUGAUGUAACAGUUCAACUGGUCAAGACCUUUUGUGAAGACGAUGAACAUAGCCAUAUAAUGCCUGGUAAAAAGGACUAUGUAACCAUAAAGAAAAAUGUCCACAUGCAAAAACGUUUGCUCUUAUAUAAUUUAAAGGAAUUGUUUGUUGCCUUUUAAACCAAGAACCCAGAAAUAAAAAUUUUCAAGGUUUUGCACCUUGCAACCUAAAUGGUGUAUUACUGUUGGUGCCUCAGGAACACAUUCUGUAUGCGCCUAUUCAUCAGAAUUUGAAACUGCUUUUACAUCCUCUUGGUGUGACAUACAAAGAAUUGUUACCUUAUAUUGUCUGUGAUAUAACUAAUAAAGACUGUAUGAUGAGGAAAUGUGAAAAAUGCCCAGCAACUAUGAAUGCAUUGGUUGAAAAACUUUAUGAUAUACUUGGAGAAUUUGAAGAUGAUGAUGAGUUUGAACUUGAUCAAUGGACAACAACAGAUAGGUCAAACUUGACAUAAUAAAGAGCCAGUGUUUGAAUACAUUGAACUAGUAUGUAGAAAACUGGAAAAACACCACAUUCGUAUUUAGCAAAGAGUCAAGCAUUAUACCUGAGAUCAAGAAAGGAAGAUAUGAAUGAGGUAACAGCAUUAUUUCUGGGUGAUUUUUCAGAAAACUAUAAAUUUGUAGUUCAGGAUAAAGUGCAAAGCUUUCAUUGGACAAAUUUACAAUGUACACUUCAUCCAGUGAUUAUUUAUUUCAAAAAAGAAGGCAUUCUCAAGCACAAAUCCUAUUGUAUUAUUUCGGAUGAUAUGAUCCAUGAUGUGAACAUGGUUUAUAAAAUUAUUGAGGUUGUUUGCAAUGAUAUAAAAACAAAUUUGCCUCAAAUAAAAAAUAUUGAAUACUUUUCAGAUGGUGUGCAGAUCAAUAUAAGAAUUGCAAAAAUAUGUUAAAUCUUUGUUUUCAUUGUGAAGAUUUUGGUUUUACUGUUAAAUGAAACUUUUUUGCAACUAGUCACGGUAAGCAACCUUGUGAUGGGAUAGGUGGUACAGUCAAACGUCUGGCAACACUAGCAAGUUUGCAAAGAGAUAUGGGUAAUCAUAUUUUAUCUUCACAAACAAUGUAUAAAUAUUGCAAUGAAAACAUUGAAGGCAUAAAUUUCAUAUAUAUUUCAUCAGAAGAUUUAACUUUGGUGAGAACCACUCUUAAAGAACGAUUGGAUACUGCUAAUACAAUACCUGGAACACGUAGUUACCAUCAGUUUGUACCACUUGGCCAUCAAAAGGUAGGCACUAAGCUAUGCAGUGUUGAUGAAGAAUUUGCUUUAAUUCAUGACUGGAAAUAUCCAGAUAACAGCUGUAAACCUAGUACCAGGUGAUUAUGCCUGUGUUUCCUAUGAGCAAAAGUGAUGGAUAGGAGUCAUUGAAGAUAUUAAUUUAGAAGAAAAAGAUGUGCUUGUAAAAUUUAUGUGUCCUAAUGGUCCUGCACGGUCGUUUAAAUGGCCACCAAAGGAAAGCCAAUGCUGGAUUCCUGAUGUCCACAUUAUUUGCAAAGUUGAGGUACCGAUAACAAAAAUAGGACUUUGCUACUAUUUAGCCAAAGAGGACUUAAAA